ACGGGUGAGUAACGCGUGAGCAAUCUGCCCUUCGGAGGGGGACAACAGCUGGAAACGGCUGCUAAUACCGCAUGAUGUAUACGGGAGGCAUCUCUUGUAUACCAAAGAUUUAUCGCCGAAGGAUGAGCUCGCGUCUGAUUAGCUAGUUGGUAGGGUAACGGCCUACCAAGGCUGCGAUCAGUAGCCGGACUGAGAGGUUGAACGGCCACAUUGGGACUGAGAUACGGCCCAGACUCCUACGGGAGGCAGCAGUGGGGAAUAUUGGGCAAUGGGGGAAACCCUGACCCAGCAACGCCGCGUGAAGGAAGAAGGCUUUCGGGUUGUAAACUUCUUUGACCAGGGACGAAACAAAUGACGGUACCUGGAAAACAAGCCACGGCUAACUACGUGCCAGCAGCCGCGGUAAUACGUAGGUGGCAAGCGUUGUCCGGAUUUACUGGGUGUAAAGGGCGCGUAGGCGGGAUUGCAAGUCAGAUGUGAAAUGCUGGGGCUUAACCCUGGAACUGCAUUUGAAACUGUAAUUCUUGAGUAUCGGAGAGGCAGGCGGAAUUCCUAGU
rnacentral:rRNA from 1 species